rnacentral:rRNA from 1 species
AUGGAGCUUUAGACCUAAAGUAAGUCACGUUUAACAUCCUGUGAUAACAGAAAAAACUUAGUGAUAUUUACUGAAGUGUCUUUGGUUGGGGCGACCGCGGGGUAAAACACAACCCCCAUGUGGACCGGGGAUAUUAUCCCUAAUACUCAGAGCCUCUACUCCAAGUAACAGAAAUUCUGACUUUUCUGAUCCGGUAUAACCGAUCAACGAACCG